AUUGAACGCUGGCGGCAGGCCUAACACAUGCAAGUCGAGCGAGCGGCGGACGGGUGAGUAAUGUAUGGGGACUGCCCGAUAGAGGGGGAUAACUACUGGAAACGGUGGCUAAUACCGCAUACUAUCGGAUAACCCCUAUGGGAUUAGCUAGUAGGUGGGGUAAAGGCGCACCUAGGCGACGAUCUCUAGCUGGUCUGAGAGGAUGAUCAGCCACACUGGAACUGAGACACGGCCCAGACGCUUGCGGAGGCAGAAGUGGGGAAUUUUGCACAAUGGGAGGAAGCCUCAUGCAGCCACGCCGAGUGUAUGAAGAAGGCCUUAGGGUGGUAAAGUACUUUGAGCGCGGAGCCGUCACCGGCAGUCGAAGCACCGGCAAUCUCCGUGCCAGCAGCCGCGGUAAUAC
rnacentral:rRNA from 1 species